UGGUUAAAAUUUAUUUUCAUUGUGUUCCCCCUAGUGGAGCUUUCUGGUACUUAGACUGUACGCAAACAGGAAGUAGAGAAUUGUUCUGCAACCAUAGAAGCAGCUAAAAACAACGCCAGGCUGCAGGUCUUUCAGUGUAGUUAUUUCUUGUCACGCUUCAGCCUUGGAAAAUAUUUGUUUUUUCACAACAUAAACGUUUUCAAUACAUUCAUUCAGGAAAAGUCACGCCUUCAGAGUUUUAUUGAAGACUUAGUUGUUGGGAACGCAAUUCAAGGGCAGAAUAGUCCCGGAGGAGGAGCGAAAUGUUGUUGCAGGUUCUCUGGAUGUAGUACAACGCCUGGGUAGGCUGAGAGAUGGGGAAAACCAGCCACCACGACCAGUGAUCAUGAGAUUCAUCUGUAGGACAGCCAGGGAUAUGACAUGGAAAAAGUGCAAAGAAAAAUGGAUAUUUUAAAAAUAACAACCUGAGGUUCAAGGAGGAUCUGACAGCAUUUGAUAAAGAAGCUCGGAAUCAUCUGUGGCCGAUGAUUGAGAGAGCAAGGAAGGAAGGAAGGGAAAAGUGCAUACUUUGAUGGGAGCUAAGGCUUUUGUUAAUGGAAGGGAAAUUCACACUGACGCCUAGUUUGUUGACUGCUGGAUUUAUCAAGUGAGUUGUGCAGGACUGAGUUUUAUUUGCAUCUAAUAAAACUUUAUAUUUCUUGAGGAAAGAGCAUUGUUUGUGUGAGCCAAACUUUUUUUUAAGUAUAUAUUUCUUUUAUGGCAGGGAUAUUCGCACUGACACUUAAUGUUAGCUUGAUGGGUAUUCGUUUUACCAAUCUAUGGUACAAUGUUAUUUGCAAUUGUAUUAAAAUAUAUAUAUAUAUUUUAGUUCAACCACUUGCGUGGUGCAAAGGACUGUUUUUAUUUGCAACUAGUAAGAACUUUUCUUUUUGUGAGAACCCGAUUCAUGUGAACGUAUACAAGUUUAAUAUUCUUCAUAUAGUCACUGAUAUUAAAUGUCCAUUUCUGUUUUUUCUAUUAAUGCCAGGGGAAUCUGUAUUAUUUUGAAAAGGAAAUCUUUAUUUUUGUAUUGUAAGAGUCCUGACUUUUAUUUCAUUCAAGAAACUCAAAUCAAAAUCAAAUGUAUUUAUAUAGCCCUUCGUACAUCAGCUGAUAUCUCAAAGUGCUGUACAGAAACCCAGCCUAAAACCCCAAACAGCAAGCAAUGCAGGUGUAGAAGCACGGUGGCUAGGAAAAACUCCCUAGAAAGGCCAAAACCUAGGAAGAAACCAGGCUAUGUGGGGUGGCCAGUCCUCUUCUGGCUGUGCCGGGUGGAGAUUAUUAUUAUUUUUUUUACCUUUAUUUAACCAGGCAAGUCAGUUAACAACAAAUUCUUAUUUACAAUGACAGCCUGGGAACAGUGGGUUAAAUGCCUGUUCAGGGGCAGACCGACAGAUUUGUACCUUGUCAGCUCGGGGGUUUGAACUUGCAACCUUCCGGUUGUUAAUCCAACGCUGUAACCACUAGGCUACUCUGCCGCCCCAUUAUAACAGAACAUGGCCAAGAUGUUCAAAUGUUCAUAAAUGACCAACAUGGUCGAAUAAUAAUAAGGCAGAACAGUUGAAACUGGAGCAGCAGCACGGCCAGGUGGACUGGGGACAGCAAGGAGUCAUCAUGUCAGGUAGUCCUGGGGCAUGGUCCUAGGGCUCAGGUCCUCCGAGAGAGAGAAAGAAAGAGAGAAUUAGAGAGAGCAUAUGUGGGGUGGCCAGUCCUCUUCUGGCUGUGCCGGGUGGAGAUUAUAACAGAACAUGGCCAAGAUGUUCAAAUGUUCAUAAAUGACCAGCAUGGUCGAAUAAUAAUAAGGCAGAACAGUUGAAACUGGAGCAGCAGCACGGCCAGGUGGACUGGGGACAGCAAGGAGUCAUGUCAGGUAGUCCUGGGGCAUGGUCCUAGGGCUCAGGUCCUCCAAGAGAAAGAAAGAGAAGGAGAGAAUUGGAGAACGCACACUUAGAUUCUCAUAGGACAGGAGAACUCAUGCCUGUUCCACAGAUACUGUGUUUUGGAUGUGUCAUGGGGGGGUGAUAUUUGGUUUUCAUUUGGUACUAAUCGGUCAGCCCUUAUCGCUAUUUUGAAAGGCAACUUUAAGGGUCAUAUAUUGAGUCAGUCUCUCGAUGUGCAAAACUGAUAGAGACAUACCCCAAGCGACUUACAGCUGUAAUCGCAGCAAAAGGUGGCGCUACAAAGUAUUAACUUUGGGCUGAAUAAUUUUGCACGCCCAAUUUUUCAGUUUUUGAUUUGUUAAAAAAGUUUGAAAUAUCCAAUAAAUGUCGUUCCACUUCA